rnacentral:tRNA from 1 species
UGGCUCAGAUGGUAAAGAAUCUGCCUGCAAUGCAGGAGAUCCAGGUUCAAUCCCUGG